UAAGAAUUUAAAAGUCGAACAGACUUACCCUUAAGAAAGCUGCUCCUUAAAAUUUUCUUAAUUCAACAUCGAGGUCGCAAAAUACAAUAUAGAUAAGAACUCCCCAUUGAAAUUACGCUGUUAUCCCUAAGGUAACUUAGUCUUAUAAUCCAUUUGCAGGAUCUAAAAUAACAUUCACAAAUGAAUUUUAAACCUAAAGUUAACUAUUUAGUCACCACCCCAGCGAAAUAUAAAAUUCAAAUUAAAAAAUAUUUAUAUAUAAAACUUAAUAACAAAAAAUUAUAUAAAGUUCUAUAGGGUCUUAUCGUCCCAAUAAAUCAUUAAAGCAUUUUAACUUUAAAUUUAAAUUUUAACAUUUAAAAAAAUAAAACAUAAUUCUCAUACAUCCAUUCAUACAAGCUUUCAAUUAAAAAACUAAUUACUAUGCUACCUUUGCACAGUCAAAAUACUGCAGCCAUUUAGAAGUUUAAAACCAUAGGGCAGAAGAUACUUUUCAUAAAAACA
rnacentral:rRNA from 1 species